UACGAAGGGGGGCUAGCGUUGCUCGGAAUCACUGGGCGUAAAGCGCACGUAGGCGGAUUUUUAAGUCAGGGGUGAAAUCCUGGAGCUCAACUCCAGAACUGCCUUUGAUACUGGGAAUCUCGAGUCCGGAAGAGGUGAGUGGAACUGCGAGUGUAGAGGUGAAAUUCGUAGAUAUUCGCAAGAACACCGGUGGCGAAGGCGGCUAUCUGGACCGACAUUGACGCUGAGGCGCGAAAGCGUGGGGAGCAAACAGG
rnacentral:rRNA from 1 species